rnacentral:rRNA from 1 species
ACGCUGGCGGCGUGCCUAAUACAUGCAAGUAGAACGCUGAAGGAGGAGCUUGCUUCUCCGGAUGAGUUGCGAACGGGUGAGUAACGCGUAGGUAACCUGCCUGGUAGCGGGGGAUAACUAUUGGAAACGAUAGCUAAUACCGCAUAAGAGUAGAUGUCGCAUGACAUUUGCUUAAAAGGUGCAAUUGCAUCACUACCAGAUGGACCUGCGUUGUAUUAGCUAGUCGGUGGGGUAACGGCUCACCAAGGCGACGAUACAUAGCCGACCUGAGAGGGUGAUCGGCCACACUGGGACUGAGACACGGCCCAGACUCCUACGGGAGGCAGCAGUAGGGAAUCUUCGGCAAUGGACGGAAGUCUGACCGAGCAACGCCGCGUGAGUGAAGAAGGUUUUCGGAUCGUAAAGCUCUGUUGUAAGAGAAGAACGAGUGUGAGAGUGGAAAGUUCACACUGUGACGGUAUCUUACCAGAAAGGGACGGCUAACUACGUGCCAGCAGCCGCGGUAAUACGUAGGUCCCGAGCGUUGUCCGGAUUUAUUGGGCGUAAAGCGAGCGCAGGCGGUUAGAUAAGUCUGAAGUUAAAGGCUGUGGCUUAACCAUAGUACGCUUUGGAAACUGUUUAACUUGAGUGCAAGAGGGGAGAGUGGAAUUCCAUGUGUAGCGGUGAAAUGCGUAGAUAUAUGGAGGAACACCGGUGGCGAAAGCGGCUCUCUGGCUUGUAACUGACGCUGAGGCUCGAAAGCGUGGGGAGCAAACAGGAUUAGAUACCCCUGGUAGUCCACGCCGUAAACGAUGAGUGCUAGGUGUUAGACCCUUUCCGGGGUUUAGUGCCGCAGCUAACGCAUUAAGCACUCCGCCUGGGGAGUACGACCGCAAGGUUGAAACUCAAAGGAAUUGAC